AUGCGCCACCGCGGGUACCCGGUCACUUCCAGGCAGAGAGGAGCCGGUGCCUGUGCAUGUGCUGUGCUGCUCCAAGAGGGGAAGGUGAGAGGAGCCUGUGGGACAGCAAGCGAUCCCAGGCAGGAGGAACAAAGCCUGCAUCGUCUUCAGCAGUUUGGCCUCCUUGUUCGCCACUGGGAAACCACCAUGGGAAGGCUGAGCAAGUCCCUGAGGAACGAGAAGAUGCAAGCAUGUGUCAAACAGGCGGAUAAGACCCUUUUGGACUCGCCACUCCCUGGAAGGGCUCUGACCCACCUGCUUCCCCAGCCAGAGGAGCUAGCCCCUUCCCCUGGGUGUUCGUACCCCCUGCCCCAGCUCCCCUGGGUCUCCACGCCUGCCGGGGGGCCAGGAGGCAGCGUGCUAGCUCCUGCUCGUGGCAGCAAGGUCUGUCACCAGUCUGGCAGGGCUGCAGCACGCCUGGGCGCAGUGAUCCCGGUGACUGCCCUGAGCACAGCGCCUGUGGGUGUGCAGGCACCCCCCUCUGCUGCCCAAAUUCAGCCUGCUUCUGACCCAUGCCACGUCCUGCGAGCACAAGGCUGCGGCAGCCUUUUCGCACCACAACACCCAAGAGGUCUCUCGGCCUUUCUCGUCUUGUUCCUUCCUCUUCCGCGGGCUUAUGCAAUUUUUCUGAGUUCAGAGGUAUAUGGGACUGAGACUCACACAGCACUUUAUUCAGAGCAGUUGUGUCCUGCCCAUCUCCCCUGUGUCUGCCCAAAACACCCCUCCCAAAACACACACACACACACACACAUCGGCGCUUUGAGUCCAGAACGGUGCCCGCACCUUCUCCUCGGCCAAACUCUCCCACAAACCACGUGGCCCCCUGAUUGUACAGGGUGCUCUGAAAGGGGACUCCUGCUUUCUGCUCCAGCACUCAAAGCCAGACUUCCUGUACAGCAUCUCUCUUUGAAGGGUGGAGGGGAAAACAGGUCGUGGGGGCAACGCUUCCCUGCCCAGAGGGCCAUCCUGGAGCAAGCAUGGCUCUUGAAGCACAAUGUUUUAUUUGCAUUUCUUAGUUUCGAAUAA
rnacentral:lncRNA from 1 species